UACGUAGGGAGCAAGCGUUGUUCGGAUUUACUGGGCGUAAAGGGCGCGUAGGCGGCGCGGUAAGUCACUUGUGAAAUCUCUGAGCUUAACUCAGAACGGCCAAGUGAUACUGCAGUGCUAGAGUGCAGAAAGGGCAAUCGGAAUUCUUGGUGUAGCGGUGAAAUUCGUAGAUAUCAGGAGGAACACCGGUGGCGAAGGCGGCCAUCUGGACGACAACUGACGCUGAGACGCGAAAGCGUGGGGAGCAAACAGG
rnacentral:rRNA from 1 species